rnacentral:lncRNA from 1 species
CCGAUAUGGGCGCCAAAACUAUAAACCUCAUUACCCCGUCCGGUAUGAGGGUGAAACGGGCCGUCCCCAUACCCCGUCCGGUAUGGGCACCAAAACACAUAAGAUCUCCAUACCCCGUUCGGUAUGGGAGACCACAAUCCCGGUAGGGUUCCCUACGGACCCGAUCCGUCCACCAUCUCCCAGGAUAUCUAGUCAGGCUGACCACAUUAUACAAUUACCCAUUUACAUAAUCUUUCAUUCUCUUUUUCCUCAGUCAGUAUCAUCAAUCACAUACAAACAAGCAAAACGGUAAUUUAUGCCAAACAGACAACAUACAGCAUCAAUAUCCCAGUCAUUCA